CCUUUUUGUCCGAGACCUCAUCAAACUCACAUGGUUCGGAAGAGAGAGGACGCAGAGGUGGGACAGAACGAUCGCAGGGAGGAUAAAGUGCACAAAGGAGAGCUUCAGACACUCAGGAGAAUGACUUCUUUUGGGUCAGCAGAGCUUUCGGCUGCCUUCUGUUUAUUCUUUCAGCUCCUGAGCGAAGGACAGAGGAACACGGCGUUCCAAUGAAUAAAAAAAAUAAACAAACAAGAACAACAGAGGAACAAGAUUCCAGGACCUGGGAAACCGGAACGGGAUUCUAGAAACUGGAAAACUAGGACAAGUUUGUAGAAGCGGGUUGGAAAAAAUCAUCGGAAAACGCUUUGUAGACUCGGAUAGAGAGCGGAACAAGCUCCUAGAAGCCGGAGAACUGGAACGAGGUUCUAGAAGUGGAAAGAGAGCGGAACGAGCUUCCAGAAGCCGGAGAACUGGAAGGAGGUUCUAGAAGCCGGAGAACUGGAACGAGGUUCUAGAAGCAGGAGAACUGGAACGGAG
ensembl:lncRNA